AUACGUAGGUGACAAGCGUUAUCCGGAUUUACUGGGCGUAAAGGGCGUGUAGGCGGUCUUGCAAGUCAGAAGUGAAAUUCCUGAGCUCAACUCGGGUGCUGCUUCUGAAACUGCAGGACUUGAGUGCUGGAGGGGAUAGCGGAAUUCCUAGUGGAGCGGUAAAAUGCGCAGAUAUUAGGAAGAACACCGGUGGCGAAGGCGGCUAUCUGGACUGUAACUGACGCUGAGGCGCGAAAGUGUGGGGAGCAAACAGGAUUAGAUACCCUGGUAGUCCACACUGUAAACGAUGAAUGCUAGGUGUAGGGGGUAUCGACCCCUUCUGUGCCGCAGUCAACACAAUAAGCAUUCCGCCUGGGGAGUACGGCCGCAAGGUUGAAACUCAAAGGAAUUGACGGGG
rnacentral:rRNA from 1 species